AUUGGCUCCAUCCAUCUCUCACUGGCUUGUGGACGGGCUGCGAUCCCCCCUGAGCUAAUUCCAUUAUACAUUCCGUCUGGAAGUAAGAGAGGACUGCCCUCUAAUUGCUUUCUUAUCCCCCUGAGCCCCCUUUCUCUCCUUUACGCUCCUCUCCUCUCCUCCAAACUGCACCCCCAGCCCCAGCCCCCGCCCCGCUCCGAACAUGGCAGCAAAGGGAAGGAGGAAAGUGAAAUAGAGCGACAACACACACCAGCGAGAGAGAGAGAGAGAGAGAGACGAGUCUGCCACUGACAGGGAAUAUCUGCCAUUUUCCACGUUGCAGGAGGCUGCAGCCCUGAUCCAGAGGAGCGGGAUCCAGGCACAGACACCGCCGCAGAGCCCCCUAGCCGGAGUCAUGCAGUCCUUCAGAGAGCGGAGUGGUUUCCAUGGCAACCAGCACUGCUACCAGCAGGAACCUCAAGAAUUAUCACACCUUGAGAGUUAUAGACAUCAUCACAGCCAGUCCAGACAAGGCUACGAGCCACACUCUCUAGCUGCUGGAGGGAUGUCAACAGCAGGAGCGGGUUCUAAAGACUGUUAUGGACAGCUGACCUAUCCCAUCUAUACCAGCACGAGUGGUACUCAAACUAAAAAACCUUAUAGAGGAGCCAAAACUCCAAACCAGCAUCUGCAGGCUGGCUACAGCAAUCACAUGGGCACUGGAUUCACAGCCCAGUACAUGAGUGAAGGUCACGUGCAGCAAAAAUGGGAUGAGUCACCUCAGAUGACCCAGUUUGAGCAGGACAUGGUGGGACGGCUGGAGUCUGGGGUCAGUGGGUCAUCCCAGUACCUAGAGCAGAACAUGCUAGCUAUCUCUCAAAGUCAGUGCCAUCUACCUUCGCAGUCCUCUGCCCCAACCUAUACAAGUCCUCAUCAACAGGGCCUCCCACCCAAUCCUGCACCUUCUCCUUUAAUGUAUCCACAGGGUCAGCUCAAUUUCCCCCAGCACUCGCAACACCCAUCUUCAUCAUCAUAUAUGGAGAAAUGUAAUGCAAUGCCACAUGGCUACAAAGGCUAUGGGAUACCAUCUAAUGCCCAGUAUGGAAGACAACUCGCCAAUCACAGCAGUCUAAAGCAGAGUGGAUACAGACCUCCGAAUAAUUACAGUUAUCCUCAAACUCCAUCAAGGACUGGAUUUGAACAGGGUUCCCUGCAAGGAAUGUCUGGUACACAAGAGAACCUUCAGAAAUUCCAGCACUUCAAUCAGCCCCAGCAAAACUACUGCAUAACAGAUAUAUCUGUAAGGUCACCAGAACAAUACUAUCAGACCUGCAGUCCAAGUUCUAGUCAUUCACCUGCAAGGUCUGUUGGAAGAUCUCCAUCGUACAAUUCCACACCUUCCCCCUUAAUGCCAAACCCUGAUUCAUUUCAGUAUGGCCAACCUCCGAUCAACCCCGGGGCUUCGUCAUCUGCAGGUCUGCAAGACCAAAAUAUGCUAAUGCCUCCUCAUACUCAUUCAUCACCCAGUGUGAACCACCAAUCCCAGAGCUAUUCUGGCUCCAUGAAAGAACGAUUUUCAGAAAAGCUCUUGUCCAACCCCAGUUUGUGGAGCCUUAAUGCCCUGACAUCUCAGGUUGAAAACAUCUCCAACAAUGUCCAGCAGCUUCUGCUGUCCGAGGCCCUUAUUGCUAACAAAAAGACCAGCAAGCGAAAUCAUCCAAAAAAGGGAGAAGACUAUAGAGGUCAGUUAAAGGGUAUGGAAGAGUCAUCUUGUCCUGAUAACCAACAUGGUCCUUCUCCAUCCGAUGCUUACACCAUUUCCAGGUCCAUGACAGCAGAACUGCAGGAGGGAGGAUACUCUAGCAGCACUGAGGACCAGAUGGACAGGAGCUACUACUAUUUUGGUCAGGAAAAAGGUCAAGCACAAACCCAGACACACUCACGUAUCAGCCUUGACACACUGUCUACAUGCUCCUUAAACUCAGCUGACGAUGUAUCCAUUAGGUCAGGUGACUCAGUUCGAAGUCUCCAGAGUGUAGCGUCUGAGGAUAAUCUCAACUGUGACCCAAGAGUUCAGAGAGUACUGACUGGAGAAGUGCCCAACAGCUCUCUCCAUUGCAUUAGAGAUAAGAGGUCUUCUAUCAGUGUAACAGCUCCAAGUCCUAUGAAACAAGAGAGCAAUUCACCACCAGACAUAAAGCAUUCAGAGAGCACUCUAAAGGAGAACUUUGAGGAGUCAGCAUGGACUGAGAGGAUGGCUGAUGAGGAGGAAAUUGGACAAAGAAAGCUGUCUGCAGAACAAGAGUGCAAAGGAGAGGUUGCGGAAAAGCAAGAGAAGUGGCUGGAGGAUGAGAAAAGUCCUUCUCUUUUUAAUAAAAUUAACAAAGCAGUAUUACAGGAAGGUUACUCUUAUGAAACAGAAGAAAAUAUCUACCAAGGGCUGCAAAACAAACUUGACUCAGAAAAAGAAAACUCAUCAGAGAUGAACUGUUUUUCUGAACUUAACCACAAAUGUAAUGAAGGAACAGAAAUAAAAUCAGAAAAUUUCAAAUCAGAACUACAGACCAAUGCUGAAAUGCUUGUGAAAACAUCACCCAGCAAUUCAGGCACUGAUCUGUAUUUGCCGGAGAAAGAGGAAAAUUCAAAGAGUGAGGAUCCCAUAGAGAACCUCACAUGCACUGAAGGACCAGUGGACACCAUUGAGGACCAGCCGUCUGUCCUCUCCCAUAAUUCCACUGAGGUGAGAGAUGAAAAAAAGAGUCUGACAACUUCAGAAGAGGUCGUUAAUAAUAGAGCAAGACCAAAAGAUUCCUUUACAGAAGACUGCAGUACAUUUAAGGAAAUGGGAAACAUGCUACAAGUCAACACAGAAACUGCAGAAUGCUUUGCCCAUGACACACAACACAGAAGCAAUGAAAGGAGGUCAGCCAUAUGUGACAUUGCACCUCAGCCUCACACUGGCAAGAGUGGCUUCUCAGCUCUCAAUGAGAAAACAACACCUUUGGCUCAGGCUAGAGAUCAUCACAUCGAUCGUAGUGAAGCAAAGGUACUGGAGCCUGACUCUCCUCAGUUGCCGGGCAAGUCAAUACUGCACUCAGCACCAUCUUGGGCUGACACCCCACCGUCUCCCAAAAAAGGGGAUGAGGAUAUGGAACCAGGGAUAAGCUGUCCCAGUGCAGUGACUCCCUCAGCCAAACCAGAGCCUAUGGCCCCAUCUGCACAAACAAGAAUGUUCGGUAAGAAACAUGCACGGGGCAGGAGAAGACUAAUGCAUUCAAGUGUGGGAAUCAGAAGGCAGCUUAGUGUAGAAGGAGACAGUGCUCCACCUUCUGCCCAAAAUCCCAGUAUGCCCUCCAGCAAAAGUACCCUUAUUCUUGACCAGAUGGAAACUGCCCACCAGGAUAUUAGCAGUCAAACACCAAAACUUGUGACAGAGAGUUUACCAUCACGGAUGUGCACUCGCUCCCACGUUUCACAAAGUAGCCCAAAAGUCUGCCCUCAAGAGAGAAAGAAACCAGGUCCAAAGCCUGGUCCAAAACCAGGUGUGAAGCCAAGUCCAAAACCAGGUCCAAAGCCUGGUCCAAAAUUAAAUCUAAAACCUGGACCAAAGCCUAGUCCAAAAUCAAGUUCAAAACCUGGUCUAAAACCAGGACUUAAACCUGACGUUAUGCCCUGUAUAAAACCUGGUCCCAAACCAAGUUUAAAAUGCAUAGGACCCACAGAAAACACAAAACCUGGUACAAAAUCUGCUUUAAAGCCAGGUACUAAACCUGGUCCUAAAUCUGUUUCUAAACUAGGCUCAAACCCUGCAGCUUUAGCAAGAGAAAUACUUGUUCCAAAGCCAAGUAAAAACACUGCAGAGUCAAAGACAAUUGAGGGCUCAGUACCUAAAGGACCAGGCCGACCAAGAGGAAUCACUUCUAAGAUCAAAUCAAUAAAUCGAGAUGAAAAUGUUCAGAUUACAAAAGACCAUACCAAGGACACACACUGUACACAUGAACUUAUUUUGCAAGAUGUGACCACAGCAUUCACUUUGGACACACUUGUGGGUGUUGUGGACCCCACUAAGGAUGAAACUGUGGGUUCCACUUUGGAAUCUACUCUAGACAGUAGUUGUGUGAAGUCCUUAGCAAGAAAUCAAAAGUCCAUGGUGCUGAGAUCACGGAAACAAACAAAAGAAAAGCUGACUGAAAUUAAAGAGCAAGAGAAUGAUAAAUCAUCUGAGAAACCUUCAGCAAUGUUCAUACACUCACAAAUACAGGAUGCUACUGUGGAUCAGUCAUGUAAGACUGAAUCUUCAAAUCUUGAAUUACCUUCGCAGAAGGAUGUUUCCACAGAUUCACUUCAACAACCAAAUGAAGAGGUGGUUUGCCUCAAAACAAAAUCCAGUUUACUGUCUUCAGAAAUCAUAAAGAGAAAGAAAGGUGUGCAAGAAAGUGAAGUGAAGACACAGGAGCCUUCAUCAGAUACAGUCACAGGAGCAUGUAAUGCAAAGGGAAAGCGAAAGAGAGGACAACACUUGCAACCAGAAUCUGAAAGCACCACUGUGACCACUGAUAACCCUCCCACUGAUGAAAUCAGUGACAUGCCUUCUGUACCUCCUCAGUGUCCCACUAAAACCAAAUAUUUGCCUCCUCGGAAAGGCAGGGGACUUAAAUAUGAGGCAAUGGUUCAGAAAAUCACAUCCCCGGGGUCCAAAAAGCAACCUGUAAAUAUCCAACCAGAUACUGUACCAGAAGAAUCAACAUUAAAACCAGUGCCACAGGUAUCGGAGCAGACAGAGAUGAUGAACAUCCCUGAGGUGACUCACAAUGUGGGUGAGAAUACAAUAAGUACACAAGAGACCCAAAAUACAGGAAUUCAAACUCCAAGGAAAAAGAGGAGAAAGUGGGCAACUGUAGAGAGCAGUGAUGCACCAGAUGUAGCCCUGGAGGCUGGGAGCCUCGUUAUCAACACACCAAGGCUAGCCAAACAGAGAGCCAUUAAAAACAACCAUGAGAUGCAUCUGAAGCAACGAAAGAGGAGAAGAAAAGGCAUUGAACCACCAGAAAGCAUCCCCAUUGUGGAGCAACAGGAUCCUGUACAGACUGAUAUUUUUUCCCCACCUACACUCACCAUCUCUUUACCUGAAUCAAGUGAACAGAUACAGUAUGAGGAGCCACCAACAGAAUUAUACUUACCACAAAUAAAACCCAAACGUGGCAGGCGGCCAUCACUCAAAAUCAAACAAGAGGAACUCUCAAGUCAAACAGAAGAUGACAAAGUAAAGGAGAAAAAAAAGCCUGGGCCAAAAAAAAAGGUUAUGAAUGUCCUCAAAGUUGUAGUGAAGAGGCCUAACAUAAAGAAAAAAUGCAGCAAUGAUCUCUGCCCAACAGUGAAAGGGACAUUAUCAGACUUGUAUUCAGCAAUGAGUAACAACAAAUGUUCCUUUAGACCAUAUGUACACAUUGACAGCUCUUUGGAGCCAGCAUCUCUUUGUACCAUCAUCAACAGGCCUGAGGAAGAGCAGAUGCUCAGCCAGGCAAGGAAAAAGUGUGCAGCUAAAAUGAAAAAUCUAGUCACAGUUACCAAGGCAGUAUCAAACUCCUCGGUAAUGCUCCAGGGGCCUUUAGUUAACAAAAGCCUAAUUGACAGGUGUCUAACAUGCUGCCUAUGUGGAAAGCCAGCAAAUUACAGAGAGCUUGGGGAUUUGUGUGGCCCCUAUUAUCCUGAGGACUGCAUACCACGAAAAAUGCUUUCGUCAACACACAGGAAUGAUUUCAGGCAAAACACCAACUGUGCAAAUGAGACAGAGGUCAGCUGCAUCACAGAGCAAAUUAACUCACAGAGUGCAUGUGAGAAGGAUGCCGAUCAGGAAAGGGCAAGUCAAGGACACAGUGGGCAUCCCAGGAGGGGCAAAAGGGCAAUUAGGGAACAGAUAAGAACCCAUCCCACUUUGCGGAUGAGAUUCAAAAGACAGCUACUGUUGCAGAGAAGACUUAGUGGAACUUCUCCCUCUGCUGGUGAGGAGGGCAGUGCAACGGCUCUUCAUAGAUUGCAGACGGAGGCUGAGGCGAAAGAGCACUGGGCUCAUGAAGCGUGUGCUGUCUGGACCACAGGCAUAAUACUAGUAGGAGGCAAACUCUUUGGGCUGAUGGAGGCUGUUCAGAAAGCUGCACAUGCAAAGUGCCCCAGGUGCCAAGGUGAAGGAGCUUCCAUCUGCUGUAGCUGGAAGAGCUGUACUCAGAGGUACCAUUAUGUCUGCGCCAAAGAGAUGGGCUGCACAUUUCAAGAAGAGACCUUCUCAAUUAGGUGUCCGAAACACAAGGUAAGCAGGUGAAUUGGUUUUACACGCAACAAAGGACAUCUCUGAUCUAAAAGACACCACCAUUAUACCAUGAACUUCAGUGUCCUUGUAACAUUCUACCACCUCCCUAACAACAGCAAGGAGUGAAUCUUGACAGCAGAGCACAGUACCUCAUCAGCACCAUCUAUCAGGGCAACAGAUGAGCCCUGAGCAUAUCUCACCCUUAUCUGCCUGCUAUUGACUGGGCAGCUCUCCACUGACAGUAGAAGUUAGUGAAGGGAUGUUAAUUAGAUAUUCUAGACUCUCUCAGUCUCCUUGUUCCUCUUUAGGAGCAACAAACUUUAAAGAGUAGAAAAAAGAAGACAUUUAGAAGUGCUGCCUGAUGAUUAUUACUCGAUGGGGAACGGACAAUUUUUUCACUCAAGGUCUUGGAUCUUGCCUGAAGCCGAAAGCCAUCCAAAAACUUAAUUGCUCAAAUCCAAGCUCAUACUGAUUUUUUUUUUUUCAAUUCCUAAACCCAAAACAUUCUGCAUUAUUCACUCACCCUUCAAGUCAUUCCAAACUCACUAACAGAAACAGUUCUGAAGGAUCUUUACACAUAUCUUUUCCAUACAGCCACUGCUCACCACAAAUGUCAAGUACCCAAAAGGCCAAAAAGGGCCAUAACAAAGUCUGAAUACUUGUGCAUUACAUUCAAAGCCAUUAAAACACAAAUCCAGGUUGAGGUGCCAUUGUAGAUGACUGCUCAUAUUUAUAAUAUGACUUCAAAAGGACUAGUUUUGUGUGCUUUGUUUAUGGUGUUUUGUUCUUUUGGAGCUUGACAGAAUACCGUUGUAUUUGAAAGAGCUGCAUGAAGAUCCUUCAGAAUGUUUUCUCCGGUGUUCUACUAAACAUAUAAAUAUGUAAAUGGGUUAGGAACAGCACCAGAAUUAAAGGAAUUAUCCAGGUUCAACACAAAUUAUGAUCAUCUGAUAACCAUUGUGGCAUAAUGUUGGUCAAUAUACACAUUUUAGUCUACUUGUUAGUUGUUGUGUCAUGCCAAUUGUGGUUGCAAAGGUGUUCUUUAGCAUUACUCUGUGCAGUUGCUAGGGUGUCGUGGGUUGUGAUAAGACGGCUACGUAGUUCGGCGUUUGAAUUUUUUCACUGAUGACAAGUUACAUGACCAAGAUUAAUAUUUAGGAUUAGUGGUUCAUUCAAAUCCCUAUCCUAAGCUUUCUGCAGUAAUAUUCAUUAUGCUCACCUUUGCUUAGAUUCACCUGCCUCUUCAUUCUUUUUAUACUGUUCCACUUUGCUGGCCCAUGUGCCACCUACAGGUAAUCUGUGAACUACAACAGAGGUAGGUCAGGGAGAGAGAAAGGAAAAGAGAUAGACUGAACACGAAAUACCAAGGAGAAAAUGGGCAUUGCAGAAAUAGAGAAAGAGAAAUGAUAUUCAGUAAUAGUACAGCUUCCUCUCUGAGAAAGCGAGACAAAACCUGGAUGGAGAUCAAAACACCCCACCCCAGCCUCCACUCUCCCCCUCCCUUCCUCUUUCGCCUUCCCACGACAAAGGAAGAGGAGAACAGGAGAGACAGACAAACAGAGCAAAGGAGAAAGUUCAGAACAAGCAGAGCACACAUCAGCAGGGGGAUCUAAGGGCUUUGGGUCUCUGGGAUGCCAAUUUGCCGCUUUAAUGAAAGCGAGCUGUAGAGAUACCACCCCCGUCCAGGUCUCCCAGGAAAUCUCCUCCUCCUCUUCAUCUUCCUCUUCUCCUCUGUCCUCACACGCACUCAGUGGCGAGCUCUGUUUUAGGUUCACGUUUCUUGAGAACAUGACAACAGCAAUGCAGCACAGGCGACGCUUUAGGGCAGGCCGAAGGGGGGCAACGCAGCAGUUCUUUCCCCUAUUCUUGCAUAAGGAAAAGCUCCAUUUGAAUCUCCCGAAGGAAUUGCCAGUUCUAGCAUUCUGAAUUUUAAUGCGGAACAUUCUCUCAAUUCGAUGUAAUAUCCCAGCGCAUGAGGACUGGUGAAUGUCACCUAUGCAGUAGAACAAGGAGUGCUGCGAGGUGCCGUGGACACCCAAAACACUGAGAACAACUGGAGCUUCAGUCGAAGCACAAAGACACUGUAGCAAUACCGACCCAAGAUCAGAUCAUCUCUGAAUCCAUCCGGCCCGGUCCAAACACAACAACCUUCAUGACUAAAUGCAGAAAAAGGGAAAGACGCUUUUGUUAUGAAUCCGAAUGUGCCAUUCUUCCAUUUUUAUUCUGUGUUCUGGAGCGGAUGUUAUCAGUCGGGGACACCUGGUGGCAGAUUUGGCCUGCUGCCCCGAGCACUGGCUGGCACAGAUGCAUUUCCGCUGUGGAAGGGCAAUUGAAAUUUCAAGAUGUCAUGCAACAUGCACUCACUGGAUGUAUUUCAAUGGACACUUACAUGUUACAAAGAAAAAAAAAAUGAAAUUGUACAUGGUGUGCUUUACAGGUCUAAAUAUUCUAUCAUGAUAAAAAGAACAUAUAAAUGCAUUAUUAUAAUAUAUUGCUACUCCAAGAUGUAGGCUUAUUUUCAUGUGCAUUUGAAGACAAGCACCACUGAGAUGUCCAACUGUGCAUCCGGAUGACUAAAAUAUCUUGCGUUCAUGUUAUGUGUAUCAGCUGCUCAGCAUUUAGGGAUAGUUCACCCAAAAAUUAAAAUUCUGUCAUCAUUUACUCACCCUCAUGUCAUGUCAAACCUGCGCUUCUUAUGUGAAACAAACACAAACGUGAAAUGUCAGACUGUUAUUUAAAUUUCUGUCUGUAUAUCUCACAACUAUAAAGUAUUUAUGGUGCAUUUUUGCCAUUUUGGAAGUCACUCCCCACUGACUUUUUGGAAAAGGGCAGCUUGGACAUUCUUCUAAAUAACUCAAAUGCACAAAGUCAGUCAUAUGAGUUUAAAACGACAGCAGAACGAGUAAAUAAUGUCAAAAUUUUCAUUUUUGGUUGAACUAUGAGCUCACGAAAGCCACAGCAAUGUACAAUGAUUUUACAUUUCUGAAAUGAUGCAGAAGACAACGUAAAAACUGAAAAUUCAUAGUCAUUUAAUCAGAUAUAUAUGUGACUAACAUAUUAUAACCUUUACUUCACUGCAGUAUAACAGGUAAGAGAUGAAAGAACCAUCACGUAAUUAUUUGAUGCCUGAUUCUAAGUAAUUGGUGUAUAUAAGUAUUUGAUGCUGUUUAAAUGUAAGAUGUGAUGUACUAUUAUAAUUGUGUAUAGUAUUUCUUAGAGAUGUUUAUUUUCUAUAAAACAAAUCUGUUAUUGCUUACAAAAGUUAUUAAAACAUUGAAUCAAAAGGACU